GGAAGAUUAAAUUACCAUAUAUAAAGCUCAGGUGUAGUUUUAGAAGUGGAAGAGAGUAGCUUUGGGCCUUAUCACCAGAGUCCAGAUGGUGAUAUUAUAGAUUGUGUUUUGUCUCAUCAACAACCAGCUUUUGACCAUCCUCAGUUGAAGGGACGAAAGCCAUUGAUAGGCCAAAAGCUCAUAAAGAUCAUCCUAAUAGUAUGGACUCAGAAAAUUAUCAGUCAUGGAGCUUGUCAGGCGAAUCAUGUCCAGGAAGUCUCUUUUUCCAUCUCUAUUUUGUUUUUGCAUUUCACUCUCAUUCUCUCUAUUUUAGUCUCUUUCCCAUAUUCCUUUUCCUUCUUUAUAAUAUAACUGUUGAAUAGCUGUAUAUAUUUGUGAUUUCUUGUUCUGGAUUUCGAGAAAGUUGGAAGUUUUACCAUAGUUUUUCUUUUAUUUGCAAAUCUGGUGUUCUUAUAUUUUCUUAGUCGUUCCAAGUUUUUGGUUUUGUUGCUUCUUUUUAAUCAGUAAUAUAUAUUUUGAUUUGGUGU